AGGCUUCAUAUGCUCCGAGCCUUUCUACCUAAAGCUUGUAUGCCAUGGUAAAAGGCCGCCGGGUAAGCCUGGAAACGGGCUUGCCUCCCGUGGUUGGAAAGGAGCUGCGAUUUGUCGGUAA
rnacentral:ncRNA from 2 species